rnacentral:rRNA from 1 species
AUGAUAUGUACGCAAACAUCACAAUAUAGCUUAUCUGAUAUCAAUCAAAUGGCACAAAUAAAAAUCACAAUAUGUAGGCGAACAGGAUAUACUACAAAAUGGAAAAGAUUUUCGCAUAUAUUUACCACUAUUGUAAUUGCGUCAGCUGUACUCUCUCUGUUUAAUUCAUCUUUGAUAGAGCUCUCGGAUGAAAAGGAUAAUGUAAGGUUCUGUGCUAGUACCAUCGGCAGUAUUUCUUCCUGCAAAAAACUCUCAAAGUCAUCAGAUGUAAUUCCUGGCUCAAGUGAAAUAUAUAAAUCGCUAGAGUGUGCACCUUCUUCUGAAGUUAAACCAAAAGCUACAAAAACACUGUAG